GAUGAAGAACGUAGCGAAAUGCGAUAAGUAAUGCGAAUUGCAGAAUUCAGCGAGUCAUCGAAUCUUUGAACGCAUAUUGCGCCCUUUGGCAUUCCGAAGGGCACACCUGUCCGAGCGCCGUCGCACAACUGAGGCGCAGCCUUGCGUUGGCGGGCGACUUGUGAGUAGCGAGUCGCCGCCCAAACGAGACGGCGCCGCGCCGCGGCCGACGAAGCACGAAAGCGGAAGUCGACGCGGAGGCGGUUGCCUGUAGGAAGACACAGCUUGGCCUCGGAUCAGGUGGGGAUACCCGCUGAACUUAAGCAUAUCAAUAAGCGGAGGA
rnacentral:misc_RNA from 1 species